GUUAUAGGGUCAAGCGAAUAAGUGCAUGUGGUGGAUGCCUUGGCGAUUACAGGCGAUGAAGGACGCGAUAGCCUGCGAAAAGUUGUGGGGAGCUGGCAAAUAAGCAUUGAUCCACAAAUGUCCGAAUGGGGAAACCCGGCCUUUUAGGUCAUCCUAGACUGAAUACAUAGGUCUAGCGAAGCGAACGCGGCGAACUGAAACAUCUAAGUAGCUGCAGGAAAAGAAAUCAACCGAGAUUCCCAAAGUAGUGGCGAGCGAAAUGGGACCAGCCUUCAAGAUUUAGCACCGGUGUUAUCAAAACGGAAUGGAAAGUCCGGCCAUAGUGGGUGAUAGCCCCGUAUGAGAAAACCCUGGUGUGGAACUAAGCUUGAGAAAAGUAGGGCGGGACACGUGAAAUCCUGUCUGAAGAUGGGGGGACCAUCCUCCAAGGCUAAAUACUCGUAAUCGACCGAUAGUGAACCAGUACCGUGAGGGAAAGGCGAAAAGAACCCCGGGAGGGGAGUGAAAUAGAUCCUGAAACCGCAUGCAUACAAACAGUCGGAGCCUCGUAAGGGGUGACGGCGUACCUUUUGUAUAAUGGGUCAGCGACUUACAUUCAGUGGCGAGCUUAACCGAAUAGGGAAGGCGUAGCGAAAGCGAGUCCGAAUAGGGCGUUCAGUCGCUGGGUGUAGACCCGAAACCAAGUGAUCUAUCCAUGGCCAGGUUGAAGGUGCGGUAACACGUACUGGAGGACCGAACCCACUAACGUUGAAAAGUUAGGGGAUGAGCUGUGGAUAGGGGUGAAAGGCUAAACAAACUUGGAAAUAGCUGGUUCUCUCCGAAAACUAUUUAGGUAGUGCCUCGUGUAUCACCUUCGGGGUAGAGCACUGUCAUGGUUGAGGGGUCCAUUGCGGAUUACCUCGCCAUAGCAAACUCCGAAUACCGAAGAGUGCAAUCACGGGAGACAGACAUCGGGUGCUAACGUCCGGUGUCAAGAGGGAAACAACCCAGACCGCCAGCUAAGGUCCCUAAAUAUUGCUAAGUGGGAAACGAAGUGGGAAGGCUAAAACAGUCAGGAGGUUGGCUUAGAAGCAGCCACCCUUUAAAGAAAGCGUAAUAGCUCACUGAUCGAGUCGUCCUGCGCGGAAGAUGUAACGGGGCUAAGCAAUAUACCGAAGCUGCGGAUGCGAGCUUGCUCGCAUGGUAGGAGAGCGUUCUGUAAGCCUGUGAAGGUGUCUUGUAAAGGAUGCUGGAGGUAUCAGAAGUGCGAAUGCUGACAUGAGUAGCGAUAAAGGGGGUGAAAGGCCCCCUCGCCGUAAGCCCAAGGUUUCCUACGCAACGUUCAUCGGCGUAGGGUGAGUCGGCCCCUAAGGCGAGGCAGAGAUGCGUAGCUGAUGGGAAGCAGGUUAAUAUUCCUGCACCGUCGUAUGAUGCGAUGGGGGGACGGAUCGCGGAAGGUUGUCCGGGUGUUGGAAGUCCCGGUCCCUGCAGUGGAGAAGGCGCUUAGGCAAAUCCGGGCGCGUAAUUCAAGGCUGUGGGGCGAGCGAACUUGUUCGCGAAGCAAUUGGAAGUGGUUCCAAGAAAAGCCUCUAAGCUUCAGUCAUACGAGACCGUACCGCAAACCGACACAGGUGGGCGAGAUGAGUAUUCUAAGGCGCUUGAGAGAACUCGGGAGAAGGAACUCGGCAAAUUGGUACCGUAACUUCGGGAUAAGGUACGCCCUUGUAGCUUGACUGGCCUGCGCCAGAAGGGUGAAGGGGUUGCAAUAAACUGGUGGCUGCGACUGUUUAAUAAAAACACAGCACUCUGCAAACACGAAAGUGGACGUAUAGGGUGUGACGCCUGCCCGGUGCCGGAAGAUUAAAUGAUGGGGUGCAAGCUCUUGAUUGAAGUCCCGGUAAACGGCGGCCGUAACUAUAACGGUCCUAAGGUAGCGAAAUUCCUUGUCGGGUAAGUUCCGACCUGCACGAAUGGCGUAACGAUGGCCACACUGUCUCCUCCCGAGACUCAGCGAAGUUGAAGUGUUUGUGAUGAUGCAAUCUACCCGCGGCUAGACGGAAAGACCCCAUGAACCUUUACUGUAGCUUUGCAUUGGACUUUGAACCGGUCUGUGUAGGAUAGGUGGGAGGCUUUGAAGCAGGAACGCUAGUUUCUGUGGAGCCGUCCUUGAAAUACCACCCUGGCUUGUUUGAGGUUCUAACCUAGGUCCGUAAUCCGGAUCGGGGACAGUGCAUGGUAGGCAGUUUGACUGGGGCGGUCUCCUCCCAAAGUAUAACGGAGGAGUACGAAGGUACGCUAGGUACGGUCGGAAAUCGUGCUGAUAGUGCAAUGGCAAAAGCGUGCUUAACUGCGAGACUGACAAGUCGAGCAGGUGCGAAAGCAGGUCAUAGUGAUCCGGUGGUUCUGUAUGGAAGGGCCAUCGCUCAACGGAUAAAAGGUACUCUGGGGAUAACAGGCUGAUACCGCCCAAGAGUUCAUAUCGACGGCGGUGUUUGGCACCUCGAUGUCGGCUCAUCUCAUCCUGGGGCUGUAGCCGGUCCCAAGGGUAUGGCUGUUCGCCAUUUAAAGAGGUACGUGAGCUGGGUUUAAAACGUCGUGAGACAGUUUGGUCCCUAUCUGCCGUGGGCGUUGGAAGUUUGAAGGGGGCUGCUCCUAGUACGAGAGGACCGGAGUGGACGAACCUCUGGUGUACCGGUUGUCACGCCAGUGGCAUCGCCGGGUAGCUAUGUUCGGAAGAGAUAACCGCUGAAAGCAUCUAAGCGGGAAACUCGCCUUAAGAUGAGACUUCCCUAGGAACUCGAUUCCUUUGAAGGGUCGUUCAAGACCAGGACGUUGAUAGGUCAGGUGUGGAAGCGCAGUAAUGCGUUAAGCUAACUGAUACUAAUUGCCCGUAAGGCUUGAUCCUAUAACC
rnacentral:rRNA from 1 species